ensembl:lncRNA
CAGCUUUAUUUGAAUAUACAGACAGUAUAAACACUCCCAAAUUAUAACUCGAAGUAGAUUUAAACAAACAAAACCUGACACCAAAAAGGUGUCUCAAGUCAAACUAAGUGCUGUCAUAUACUCCUAGCAAACGUGAGAAAGCGACAUUUCACGGGGAACCAAAGGGAAUGUAUUUUUAUCAUGUCUGUGUUCCAGCAGGCUGUAGUUGAGCGUGAGCUGUCAAAUCUGGUUGGUGAAGGCGCGUAUGUUGUUGGCAUGUGGAAGCAGUGAUGCCCAGGUAAGGAGCCUCUCUUCUCUGAACCACAGCACAGCUGACUGCUCCAGGAGCCAAAGUAAUGAGGGUUCCGCUGGGGGCCGCCUGGUUGGAGAGGUGGCUUAACCCUGCCUGGACGAGGCAGGAGCCCGGGCUCUGCUUUUUCAAUCGGAGCCCCUUGCGGGGCACGUGAAAAUUUUGACAAUGCCGGUGAUAAGCAAGAGGUGAUGAAAGGAAGCUGUCCGCGAGGGCGUUUCUGUUUAGUUGCGUGAUAAUUUUUCAUACGUGAAUAAAGAAUUGUGGGUUUCAAAACAAGACAAAAGCGCCCAUAUUUUAGUGCGACGAUUCUCAAGUGAUUCUCAAAAACUUUAAAACAAUGCUAAAAUUAACGCAAGCGAAGUGCUUUACAUUAAAAAAAGGACAACUCUGUCUUAAACCUCCUAAAAUUAAUCCAUUCAGUGUAUUCAAGCAUAAGACACUGCAUUUUAUUCAUAGAUUCUUUCAGUAUUAUUAAUGUAAAUUACUGUACUCUUUAAAUAAUUUGCUUAUGAUUCAUGUAAAUCUCUCAGACAGGCCUGCCCAAGAAUCAUGAUCGUCUUUAUAAUCAAAUGUAAUGUUUCCCCUUGAGCCCAUAUUGGCAUUUUCAUGGGAAUUUCUCAAAACCAGACAAUUAAUGCAACUGUAUAGAGAAUUCUGCUAGUGUCACCAAGAUGAAUUUUAGCAAGAUAUGCUGUCAUUUACCAUUGAAGAUGUCAAGAAAGGGGCAAAGGUGGCCAUCCCCGAAGACAUGCGCCUAAUUAUAUAAUUUGUCUUGUGAGUGGGACAGACCACUGUAUGGUCUCCACUGGGAUCACUUCUUCAGCAGCCUGAGCCUAUCAUCAGUUUCAUCAACCCUCAUUUAUGUAAGGGCACAGCGAGUGAGUUCAUUUAUCUCUUUUUCCAUCCACAGGAAACUAGACAUUCAGCAGCCUACAAGAUUCAGAUUUUAACAACAGACAUAUACGGUGACCUGGCAGUGUUGUGAGCUUUCUAUGAGAUGGAGCGAUGAUAUUUGAACCACCAAGUGCAGAAGUGGACUGAAAAGUCUUUUAAAAAUCAAUUUUAUUAGACUCUUUAAAUCCUAUCAAAGUACAUAGUUCUAGUGAAUUUUAUAGCUUUUUUUUUUUCAAUUUAAUUGCCAUUAUUCAUUGCAAUACAUUUAUUAAUUUACCAGGCACUUUUAUGAUUUAAAAAAUUAAUAAUUAUAAUAAUAUAAGCAGAAGCAACUGAUCCAAGGCAGAAAACAAUAAUGGCAUGGCAUAUGGUAAUUAGCUUCAUCAAGGAACUCUGGCAGUGAUAUUUAAAGCAAACGUCACCACUGUACAGUCACUAAUCUUUUGUGGCAAUUCUGAGUUUGUGUCAACUAUGUAGUGAGCUGAAAAUGCUUAUCAAGGCUGGACAUAUGCGUGGGCCUGGGCCUAUACUUAUUCCGGGAUGCACAAACACAGCACUGUAAAUUGCAGACUAUGCAGCUCGGAUUCGCACCUGCUGAGGGGGAAAGGAAGCAUUGCAUUCUGGAGAUAUGGCCUGUGAGCACGCCUAGCGUACCUUCACAAAAUGUCACAGCAGUUAUGAAAGCAAGUCAUUAUCAACUCAGGGGGACCCUUGACACUGGUCUAUAGAGAUAGUUCCAGUAGUUCAAAGCCACAUCUAAUAGCCAUUCCAAGGUCAGCUUGAAACAGAGAAAGUGGCUUGUGAUGUUUAAGAACAUCUAGCCACCCUUGCGAGGUCCAGCAAGAAGUUCUGGUGGCUGGUGACACACUAGGGGUAGUGCAGGGGAUUCUAUAGGUGAGCUUACAGGUUUAUUAAGCACAGAUUAGGUCUUUACUGAAAAAAAAGACUAUACUUAAGGUAGGAGACUUUUAAUCUAACAAUUGGAGUUGUAAAGCACAGUAAUGUAGAAGUGGACUGGCUUUUUGAGGGCUUUGACAGUUCUUUUCUUUUUCCUCAUCCCUUUCCUACUCGUUACACUUGAGACUUGUAUAUUUGUACUCGCUCUCUCUUUUUUUUCUCUCUGAGAUGAUCCAGCACUGUGUUGUCCAGCUGUGCAGGAUGAUUUCCUCUCACUGAAUGGUGACCUUUUCCUCUAUGAGAGAUGAUCAGAGGCACGACUCUGAUGUGUUGCUCAUGGUUGUUCGUCAGAUGUGGAAUGGAUCAGCAUCUACAGGAUGUAAAAUCAAAAUGGGAAGCCAACGCUGUAAAGAUUGUUACAUGUUAGAUAAUUUUUUACUGCCAGAUAUUAAUACAAUAAUAUAAAAGUUUAUAUAUAUAUAUAUAUAUAUAUAUAUAUAUAUAUAUAUAUAUAUAUAUGAAUAUAUUUAUUCUAUUGUACAUUUGACCUGUGAUAUCCCACUACCCUAAAAGCUAUUUAUUUAUUUUUAUUUUUUAUUUUUA